AUUGAACGCUGGCGGCAGGCUUAACACAUGCAAGUCGAGCGAGCGGCGGACGGGUGAGUAAUGUCUGGGAAACUGCCUGAUGGAGGGGGAUAACUACUGGAAACGGUAGCUAAUACCGCAUACCAUCAGAUGUGCCCAGAUGGGAUUAGCUAGUAGGUGGGGUAAUGGCUCACCUAGGCGACGCUCCCUAGCUGGUCUGAGAGGAUGACCAGCCAACCUGGAACUGAGACACUGCCCAGACUCCUACGGGAGGCAGCAGUGGGGAAUAUUGCACAAUGGUCGCAAGCCUGAUGCAGCCAGGCCGCGUGUGUGAAGAAGGCCUUCGGGUUGGAAAGCACUUUCAGCGAGGAGGCGGUACUCGCAGAAGAAGCACCGGCUAACUCCGUGCCAGCAGCCGCGGUAAUUC
rnacentral:rRNA from 1 species